AGUCGCUAGGGAGAGGCGGCCCCCAGCCCUGGAAGUCCCUUCUGAUAUCUGACCCUCAUUGGAGCUCACAGGGAGCCGAUGGCCCCAGGCCUGCGGGCUGGGGGAGGGGGGGGCACAGGUGCGUCAGGGGCAGGUGGGGGCAGAGCCCUGACGCCCGGCCCCAGCACGCUCAGUGUGAGUCAGGCCGGGACUUGCUUGAACUGCCAGGUCCCACCUGUGAAGGAGAAGGACGGCAGCCUCUAAAGCUCGUAAUUAGGGCAAGAGGAGAAGAUGCGGACCGAGCUGCCCCGUCCCCGGUCUUGCCUGACAAGCCUUUCUCCAGACCUGCGGCGCUCAGGCCCCGGGGAGGGCUGCCGGGAGAGGCUGGCAAGCUUGGCCUUGGCCACAGGGGUGGUCAGCUAUCUGGCAGCGGCUCCUUGGUGCUGGGUACUGAGAGGUCACCUUUCAUGUGAAAUCAGGAAGAGGCUGGAAGACUUAGAAGCCGGUAGUCAGGUUCCCUCCUUCCCAUGUCAGGCCUACAGGGCGGCACACGGGGCUUCCUCUUGCCCGGGGCACAGCAGAGCAUUUCCGUUUUAUAGAUAGAGUCUGAGCAGAUUAACCCCAGGGGUGGUAAGAUGUGUCUGAGCUGGGGGUUUCCUGUCAGCAGGCACUUCUUUUGCUUUGCCCUGGCUCUGUCAUGGGAUACUUAAGGCUGCUUGGUGUUAAAACCAUUACAGUAUCCGGUAUCCAUCCAUCCAUGCACCCACCCACCCACCAUCCAUUCACCCAUCCAUCCAUCCACCCACCUACCCACCCACCACCAUUCAUCCAUCUACCUACCCACCCACUGUCAAUCCUCCAUCCAUCCAUUUGUUUACCCCCGACCCACUCAUCCAUCCAUUCAUCCAUCCAUCCACUUAUCUAUCCAACCAUCUGACUACCCACCCAUCAUCCAUUCACCCAUCCAUCCAUCCACUCACCUACCCAC
rnacentral:lncRNA from 1 species